GAUGAACGCUGGCGGCGUGCCUAAUACAUGCAAGUCGAGCGAACAGACGAGGAGCUUGCUCCUCUGACGUUAGCGGCGGACGGGUGAGUAACACGUGGAUAACCUACCUAUAAGACUGGGAUAACUUCGGGAAACCGGAGCUAAUACCGGAUAAUAUAUUGAACCGCAUGGUUCAAUAGUGAAAGACGGUUUUGCUGUCACUUAUAGAUGGUUCCGCGCCGCAUUAGCUAGUUGGUACGGUAACGGCUUACCAAGGCAACGAUGCGUAGCCGACCUGAGAGAGUGAUCGGCCACACUGGAACUGAGACACGGACAAUACUCCUACGGGAGGCAGCAGUAGGGAAUCUUCCGCAAUGGGCGAAAGCUUGACGGAGCAACGCCGCGUGAGUGAUGAAGGUCUUCGGAUCGUAAAACCCUGUUAUUAGGGAAGAACAAAUGUGUAAGUAACUAUGCACGGCUUGACGGUACCUAAUCAGAAAGCCACGGCUAACUACGUG
rnacentral:rRNA from 1 species